rnacentral:lncRNA from 1 species
GGCAAAACAAAAGAAUACAAUCCAACCCAAUAUCUUGAUAUUAAAUCUCCCACACUUAUGGUACUUAAGCCAUGGGCACCUUGGCAGCACAUAUCCAUCAGAAUCCACAAUGGCCAAACUAUGGUAGAUUCAUGUCGAUUUGUGGCUCAGGAGUUGUGUCGUCCUUCAUUCCUAUGAAAAAUAAAAUGUGAUUAGGAAACUGCAUGUUAACAUGACGUUCAUUAUUAACAGAGUAAGAAAAAUGAACAUUAUAGCUAACCAGUUGGUAUUGUUUGUCUUCUUUGUAGUAGCGGUCGAACCCUAGAGUAUCCUUGAUCUUCUUAAAAGAUGGCAUGAUGGUAGGCGGAGGUACACCGCCAUCUUUGAUUGCAUCUAAAGCAUCCUGCAUGUCAGAGAUUGGGAACUAUAUAUAAGUAGUGCUUUUGGUGCAAAAAUGAAAUGGAUGAUGUAUUGGAAUUAACAGGUGUUACUCAACAGAAAUAGUUGUGAUUUUUUUUUUCAUUGCCAGAUUACUCAACAGCAGUAGUUGUGAUUUCUUUUUCUUUUUACAAGAAGAAGGUGCAAAUACUAUUUGCAUAUAUUGCAUGCAUGUGCUAGCGUGAGAGUCUAUGCAUAAGGAAAGUGGAGUUUCCUUGCUGUGCAGAUAUAAGUGUUGGAGUAAAGCUUGAGUUAAUCAUUUAGGAAACGUAAUUGCUUUUUUUUGGCCAGUUGCCUGAACCCGUGUAGAAGGAAGUAUGCGAGCUCACGGAAUCCGGGAGCGAAUGAAGGUUGUGGUGUUUAAUAUUGAGUUGCAUGUUGCAAGGAGACUAGCAUGGAGUCCUAAACGUGUACAAGAUAGUAGAGCUUGUGGAAAUAAAGAAAAUAGAAAGCCUCAGAAACAUUUGUGUUUCUCGUGUUCGUGUGUUGGAUCCUGGUCAAAAGCCAACGAAUAAGUAUGCAGAAAAAUGGAUCCACAAGAACUACGACUACCUUGUGCUUGUGUUCAAACGAAUUAAAUUUUCACUCGAUUCAUCCUUGAUAACACAGAUGAAUUAAAAAAAAGAAUAAGGUCACAGGCUUCAUAUGUAUAAGAAUACAAACCUCCAUUGCACGGAUUGAGGCGCCCAAUAAGGAUACAGAAUAGAUUACGAGGCUGUAACCAAUUUUCGCAAGUUCAGGAGGGCUCAAUAUGGGAGUUUUACCACCUUCUAUUAUGUUUACCUGCGGAACAGAGUGUAAGUCUUCAUGGAUCAUGUCACUGCUAGAGGAAGGAACAAGUUCAAGCAAAUAAUAAAAAGGACAUUCAUUGUUGACGAGGAAAUAUGAGCGGUAAAAGUAACUUUUACAGUUGUACAGAUAUUCUUUUCAAUUCAGACUUGUAAUACGAGAAAAUGCAUAUAAACUACAUGACAGAAUUUCAACAUCAAAGUGUGGCCUCAAUUAUUCUAUUUUAUAGCACAUAUGUUUUUUUGGUUGUAUCCUUUCAACACCCUUGUCCAAUUCACUGCAAGUCAAUUAAGGGAUCUGGACAAACGCAGAAACAGCCAUAAACCCACAAUUCACAUGUAACUAGAAAACAAGCAUCAAAACACAUCGAAUGCAUGCACAUGUUAUUACCAUCUUUGGAACCCCCGGGGCAACUGCGCAGAAUUGCUUCAUCUCUUCCACCGAAGCAAGGGCGUCAAUUAAGAGAACGUCGGCACCGGCAUCAGCAAAAGCUUUUGCUCUAGCUAAUGCUUCAUCAAGAGAAAUGGCCUGACGGGAAUCUGUCCUUCCAAUGAUAACCAAGUCAGAGCCACUCUCGUUCCUAGCAUCAACAGCUGCUUUUAUGUGCAUGAUGGCUUCCUCCCUUGGGUAUACUUUCCUUCCUUCAGUGUGUCCACAGGCUUUAGGCGACACCUUCAAAUUACUAUACAUGUCAACUUUCUUCCAGGAUAAAUAAAACACAAGUCCACUGCCUGCAGUUUUUCUUUCGGGCAGUGGCAGGGCUUAUUAUCUAAAGCUAACAGAAACAACAAUAGUACUCAUUAUUAGCCAAUAGUGGAAUAAAAAUCACACAGAAAAUUUGGUCAAAAUUUUUAUGUGGUAUUUGAAAAUUUUGAUAACUUAGCUAAGUGAUUUUUAACAAUUUUGUUGCUGCCCUAAAUUUUAUUUUGUGGAGCGUGUCGCGUUUAGCUAUUAUGUAUAAUAAUUGUGUGGACCGAUUCUCCCUCGACCAUGGGGUUGAAGCCGGAUAUUACUUCCAUUAUUAUCUAAAAAAACAGAGUUAAACCUGACAAGGACCGUAUUUGAUACUGUGUUAGCUAAUAAGGUGCCAACGUAUGAAAGGAUUGGUUAGUAUUCCAAAGAGAGCACACCUGAUCUUCGAGCAUGAUCGCAGCGAAACCAGCAUUGAUAUACCCUUUGAUGGUUCUCUUGAUGUUCAUAGAGUUUCCGUAACCAUUGUCUCCAUCACCAAUCACCGGGAUCGACACAGCUUCGUUGAUGAGACGCCCUUGGUCUACCAUUUCCCCGUAGGAGAUGAGGCCAACGUCCGGCAGGCCAAGUCGCGCGGCAGAGACACAGAAACCUGGAAAAGACACGUACGUGAAAAGAAUCCAAUGCUUUGAGACACCUGCUUGAACAUUUGCGCUAGCUGUAGCUGAAGAAAUGAUAUGCACCCUAGCUACAUUCCAAAGUUGUAAUAAAACCAUAGCAAUAGUAGCAUGGUACGUUAGUCAGAAAUAGCCACGGAGCACCAGCAGACAGGAUGGUACGUUAGUUGUCAAUGCCAUUUAUACUGCCAUUCAUCUUGAGGUUGGAUUAGCUAGCAUUACUCAGUUGUAAUGACGCAUGCGAUUUCGUCGUGACGAGGAGGAGGAUGUGUGUUGUCAUGAGUUUAUACCGCUCAUGAAGGCGAUGGGGAAGCCGGCCUGCUCGACGAGGCGCGCGGCGAGGGCGUCGAAGCAGCACGGCGCCUGGUGCGCGCCGGGCGAGGCGAGGAUGCGGCGGAGCGCCGCCGCCGGGGACUCCCCCUGGCGGAUGCCGCGGAAGGACUCCUCGGUGGCGAAGUAGGGGCUGCGCGCGGCCAUCCUGAGCUGGCGGCGCGGGAGACUGGAAAUUGGAUGGAGGAGAGGGGAGCUAGUGUCAGAAUAUGUGACUGACUUUGGGCACUUUUGGCCGUGGCUGAUGAGAGCCGAGUCCGAUCCACCUGGGAAUUUAUAGAGCGGACAUGGCCCGGCUGGUAGCGCCCCGGCGCCCCACCGGCCGGAACGACGGUGACGACGAUGGCGGUAAUUAAAACGAAACGCGAUCGUUGGACAGCCGUACAGCGCUGUAUGGCAGCCUCUUGUCGUAGGGGGCUGGACCGAUGGCGAUGCCUAACCAACUACGUAGAGAGCCACUAAUGGCCCAGAAUUGAAACCGGACGCCGGACCAAAACCAACCCCCCGUAUGAACCCUGUAACAUCGGUUACAUACAUCAUACAUGCAUGUCGAUCUUAUCGACCCACCCCGAUCCUAAUCCAGCUCUCUGUCUACAUGGGCCAUGUCCUCAAAUUAAACACGGUUCUUUCACCCAAUAGCCAAGACUUCGCAGGACAGAACAGUACUUGCAGUUAGCCGUAUGCUGCCAAGUUAUAGUUGGCUAGUUGACAUAACAACAAGCACAGAACUGCCACAGGAAAAUUUGUUCAAGUAGGAAGAAAAUCCAAAUGAAAAUGGAAAAACAUGGUGGUGGCAUCAUUAUCGUACAUUUCCAUCAGGGCCGUACCGAAGAUUUUGAAGCCCUGGAGCGAAACAAGAAAUGGACCCUAUAUACACUAUAGUAGUGAAAUACAAAUAAUCGAGAUAUAUUUGGAUUCCAGUAUAUGAGUAAUAAGUACGUGUUUUUUUGCAUACAAAGAACUGCAAUAUGAAAUUAGGUACUCAUAUUAUAGGAUUAAAGGACGAAUAUUACAUACCAAUAUCUUCUUAACCUCUAGUUAAAUUCUUAACCUCUAGUUAAAGCCUAAUAGUUGGGGGCCCGGCUCGAUCGCUCCAGUUGCGCUGCCUAAUGUACGGGCCUGAUUUCCAUGCAUUACAACCACAUUCAUUGUACCAUACAAAAGAAAAUAAAAUACAUAUAUUUACUUGGGGUGGACUCAGGAAUAGGCACACCCCAUGUUGAACUACAGUUCUUUCCUCUGUACUCAAGAGAAAGCCAAGGACCAAGUGAACAGGCUGCAGCACCGGCAGCCCCGGUCCUAGAUCCACCCCUGUAUUUAGUUCUAUACUAUAAAAUGAGAAAACGUUUUCCACCCCGGCCGUAGCUAUCUAUCAACCGGAGGGGACGACGACCCAUCUAAUAAGAACUAUCUAGGGAGAUGAAUCAUUCAUAGGGGGAGGACCAUACGACGACGUAUGUACAUGCGGCGGAUGGUAAGAAUUGCGGUGAAAAAAAAAUAAGCGGCUGGAGGCAGCGGGGCGUAGACAUCGUCCUUUUAAUUCUUUCGCUUGGACGUCGUCCUCGCGAGAUCAUACACAAAAUUUUGUCCUCGGUAUUUCCUUUUCGCGGCAUGAAUACCAGGUACCAUCAUGCACGUUUCCUACCCCCCUCAUAUGCUAUAAUUUGGUGGCCAUGGAUGGAGGUAAGGACGAGUGGACGAGGAGUCCCAGCUGCCCCAGGGACCAUACAGGGUAUGUCCUGCUUGGGCAGCGAUGUCCAUUUGGCGCUUUGCUUGCGUGGUUGGAAAAUGGGAUCCCAGGUCGGAGGGGCACUGGCGCCUGUGCAGUCUCGGCUCUCAGCUAGCAUGGGGAAAAACUUAACAGGUUGGUGUGAUGAUCAGGGCGUCCUCUUAUCCAGAUGGCAAACGAGAUUCCGAGACGCUAAUCAGCUUAGAUGACGACCCAGAUUUGACGAUGGGGUGUGAAAAGAUAACCAUGCCAUGACUGAUGAGGCGCUGGGUCCAGGUCCAAUGCACGAAAGCAUGCGACUCGAUCAGCUACGGCACGACAGAUAUGAGAUGGGACGGAGGUGUGUAAAGAUGGAACUCGUUUCUUCUAUCUCUUGAUAACUUCUACGCCAUAUCACCGUACUUGAUUAUAAUAUAUGUCGCAUUAUUUAUGGAGAAUGAAACUCCUAUCGUUCAUGAAUUCGCUUGGGACGCCUCCAAGGCUGGUCCUGUACGUUUCACCACCGGUUUGUUCAUAUUUGUAUCUAACAUUUUCAUACUGCCAAAUUCUUUCGUUGCUCUCCAGUACGUGGCAGAGAUGGGCAAUUCAGGGAUAAAGAAUAUAGAGAAGGAAAGCAGUGAUAAAAAUAGAAGCAAAUGGGAAAAAGGAAGAGGACGACGCACAUGGAAACCCAAAGCUGAGUGAGAAGGCUGACGAAAGGUAACCGCAUAAUCUGUCAGCUAGCUCAACGAUGAGACCUACAAGUAAGUUGUAAGCACAUGUUUUGAUGGUCGUCAAUAAUGUGAGCAACUGAGCAGGAAACACGUACAGACGAAGAGAACCACUAACCUCGAGCACGCAACGCUGGUUUGAUCAAGAUGCAGAUUAAUUAAUGGCUGCUCAUCAAUGCAUCGACAGUCACCUGCUCUGGCUAGGCAUGCUGUUGAUCUUAGCAAGAGGGCCGACAAGUAAAUAGCACUACACCUACGUGGUGGACACCUCCCAUGCCCCACAGUUCAGGAAGCUGGCGACCACACAAGGAAUUGGUGCCAAAGUGACUACAGCCACACCAAUGUGAGACACGUGAAAGGAAUCAACGAGGGUGAAUUAGACUAACUUAAAAUCUUAACUAUAUGGCUUCCACCUUUUGCAUAAAAUAUAAAUUAGAUCAUAGUAUCUAAAAGUGCAACUAUGGUUCGACUAGUGUUUGCACCACCCAUAAAGAAUUUUGCAACUUAGUGGCAAUCCCUCGCAAAAGUUAAACGAUCUUAAUAAAAAGGCACUUAAGUUGUAAAUAUAAAAUGCGGAAAUAUAAAAUAUUGUGUUAGAGAGGAUGCAAACUCAGCACGGCGAUUUAUCCUAUGGUAUCAGUAGGUAAAUGCCACCCCAUGUUGGAGCUCCACCAAGAAUAUGCUCCAAGUCACCAAGCCUCUCUCCUGAUCAAGGUCAAGCUCGUCACUAAGACUCUCGUCUAGCCGAAUGAGAAGAUUUUUGCCACAAAGGAGAGGCUCACCAAUUCCUUUUCUCCGAUUAUCUAGACAUCGUCUCCACUAUGUAGAUUCUCCAUCAUCCCCCGUACACAGUCGUUGUUGCUGCUCCACACCAAGCUGGAGGGUUGAAUACUUGUGAAAGUGCAUAUAUACCCCUAGUGGGUUUUGGUGAGUUCAAUGAUACCAUGAUUUAAGGUCUAAUGAACUUGUUAAGCACAUGAGCAUGUAUAAAUAUUAUUGAUGGAUACUCAUUCGUGAUGAAUUCAAAUGAUGCAUUGAAAUGUUAGCUCAUGUGAUGAGAAAACAAGUGUGACCAAUGACAUUGCAUAUUAGUAGAAGAAUACAAGCAAUCAUGCUUAAAUUGAAGAAGGUUUGGACACAUGAGUAUCUAGUAGCCUUUCAGUAUAAAGAUUGCUUGAAAUGAAAGACAUGUCAAAAAUUAGUAAUUAUAUGUUGAAAGAAAAUGGUUAAUCAAUAAAGAUUGAAGACAAUGAAGAUACAAGCAUCAAUGGAAGUAAUCACUUGAGACAUGAAGGUGAAAAUGGAAAGCUAGUAAACAUGAUAAUGAGACAUGGGUUUAUGUCAUAACUUUGGUGUCAUUAAAGUUGAAAGAUUGUGACCAAUACAUAGCAUGUUUCAGUGUUAAUUAAUAUCAAGUAUUUGAAGAUAUGAAGGAUUGAAGGGUAUUCAUUAUUAAUGUCAAAGCAAAGCCAAAUUCAAGGAUCGACAAGAUUGAUUGUAGAAGAUAAUUAAAACAAAUUAGCGGUUUUCAAAGUGAAGAUAUUGUGAUGCAAGCUAGUAUAAGAGUGCGUUUGGCAGAGCUCCAAGAGCUGAUUCUCUGUUGAAUUCAGCAGGAGCUCUGCCAAACAGUUUUUCAGAGAGAAGUGAUUCUCUGCUGAUUCUGUGAAGUGAUUCCCUGAAAUGAACUAAGAGGCUGGGAGCUCAAAAAAGUAGCUUCUCCUAAUUCUGUGAAGUGAUUUUCCAUCCUAAUUUUAAGAGUUUAUGCUACAGAAUCAAAGAGAAUCACAUUCAGCCACAGAAUCACUUCUCUUAGAGAAUCAGCUCCCAUAGAGAAUGAGAAUCAGAUGGAGCUCUACCAAACGGACCCUAAGAUUCAAAGUGACACAUGGAUGAAGGAGUUAAUCAAAGGUCUUGUUUUGAGAGAAUAAGCAAUGAAGGGAACAAGACUAAGCAAUGAAGGGCAAGCAAGGUCUUGGGCUAACAAACUAAGCUAGGGUGAAGAAGCUAGAAAUGGGAUUGACACUAAAAUUGCGAGUCAUGGAGAGUCUCCUAUUGCGAAGCAUCAACCAUUCGUGUAUCUAUUGCGAAACAAGUGACGUGUGUACUAGAAAUGGAUUUCACUCGUGCAAGAUUAAAUUUCAGUUCAAGUUACUAGUUCAAGGUUAAAGUGCUCAAAACCAAACGAUAAAGUUGGAUGCAGUCCUCAUGAAGAUGCAUUAAUCAAGUGUGGUAUGAAUAAAAGAUAUGUUGAAGAUCAAGUGGUUGAAUUGUAUAUAUUCUUGAUCAUGAGGGUAGGUAUGCUGUACUAUCAAGAGGGAUGCAUCACAUGUUUUUUUGACAAACUUUCAGUGCUCAAGCUACCUAUACCUGAGUCAUUGACUGAACACUUAGUCUUGAUUUUGGCAGUGCAAAACCAGAAGUUCUAGUUUUGGUGCCACGUGUCUCUAAUGGCUAUCUGGUUUUAAAACAUCAGAGGUUCUAGUCUCUAGUUAUCUCUAAUGGUUAGUUUGUGUGGAAUUGAGUAUUUUUACUCCACCUCCACUCUUGUAGCAUGUUGCUGUUACUAAGGUUGCUAUUGUGCUUUCUGUUCAUCCAGAGUUGAGCAAAAGAGAAGAAUGCGCUCCAAGUCCCUCUUUGUGAGGUUGGGUGAUCCUUGUGUGAUCUAGUGAGUUGGAUGUGAGAGAGUGCGAGUCUAAGAGCAUUAGAAUUAUCCAAGCUCGUUUGUCUGAUGCUUGAGAAAACACCCCGCCAGAUCAACUAGUGAAAUUGCAUAUCCACUUCAUCCACUUCGAGAAGCGUUGCAUGUGAGUGAAAACUCCAACUCCCAUCCGGUGCUCUGUCGAAUAUUCCAAAGUCUCACCCCAAGAUCAUAGCUAAAGCGCCUAUCUUACUAUUACUAAUUGGAGGCUCCUUUUGAAGCCUCCAGGUGAAGCCACCUAGGAUUCCUAGGUGGACACUCUAGAAAAAGAGAGAAAUCCUAGAAAUUCUCACAAAAAAGCAAAACAUCCGACCAUCUAUUGAUAGAUUCAAAUCAUCAUAGCCAUUAGAUCUAUUAUAUUUUCUAAAAAAUUACCCACCUAUGCCAUUAUGAAAAUAGCCUAAAGUAACCUCCUAAAUCUAUAUAUAAAUUACCCACCUCUACCAUUAUAUAAAAUAAACUAAAAUAACCCCUUAAUCUUCAUCAAAAUUACCCACUUAUGCCAUUAUAAAUAAUAUUUAAAAUAACCCCCUAAUUUGCAACCAAAUUGUCCACCGCUAUUACUUAAAAACUUAAAGUAACCCGUUAAAUUUGCAUCUAUAUUACCCACACAUGCCAUUAUUAAAAAUAACAUGAUAACCCUACGUUUGAAUCAAAUAACCUUAAUUAAAAAUAUACAGGAAUAUAUGAUUCUAAAUCGUCUAUAUCUUGCACUAUUGGUAUAUGAUAUAAUAAUUAAGGUCUAUACACAUGAUGUGUCACCAUUUAUAAAGAUAUAGAGGAAGUGAUGAGAAUAUAUAUUUCUAUGUUAAAAUUGUAUCACAAACUUAGGGUUCAUUAAACAAAUUCAAGCGCAUACCUGCGAUGCAAAGUGAAAAGUUAAAGAUUAUAAAUGUGGAUGAAAAUAUUAUAGAGUAAUUACUAACUAAAAUCUAUCACAAUUGGAUGAAGAUAAUAAUAUAUAUCUAUUGUGUUUGAAUAUUUAACAAACGAGAGGUAGCUUAUGGUAAUAUUUUUUAGCAAUGUAGUCCCAUUUUUUUUCCAUUGGAGACUCCACAUUAGUUCCCAUGAGACAAGCUAGAAAAAAAAGAGACAAAUUCUCAUAAAAAUCAAAAACAUCAAACACCAAUCAUGUAAACUCUAAUAAUCAUAGCCAUUGAUCUAUUAUAUUUUCACCACUAUCAUUAUGAAAAUAUUCAAAAAUGAGCUCUAAACCUAUAUCUAAAUUACCGAGCUCAGCUAUUAUAAAAAAUAAUCUAAAGUAAUCCCAUAAUCUUCAUCCAAUUUACUAAUACAUAUCAUUAUAAAGUAUAACUUAAAAUAUCAUUCUAAAAUUUAAUCUAUAUUAACCACGUAAGUUGUUAUUAAAAAUAACCUAAAUUAAACAUCUAAAUCCUAAUCUAAUUAUCUUCAUGUGCAUCAUACAGAAAUAUCAAAAAUAAACUAAUAUAUAAAUCUAAAUUACCUAUUUAUGUUAUUAUUAAUAUAAAAAAUACUAAGUUAGAGUAUAUACAUAUGAUGAGUGUCACCAUUUAGACCAUUUAUACAUGUAUGUGAGGAAUCGAUGAAAAUAUUGAUUUGUAUGCUAAACAUAAUGUAUGAAAGAUUGGAGGUGCGAUACAAAAUGGAAAAAAGUAUGAAUAUGGAUGAAAAAGUGUAUAGAGUAAUUAUUAAUUAAAAAUCAAUCACAACUGAACAAAGAUAGGUACAUAUCUAUAUAAGUAUUAUGUUGAUGUAUUGAAAAAAAUAAGAGAGUAGUAGGUAAUCAAUUUUGAUUAUUAGCUAGGAGUUUAAUUUCUAAAGAAUUUUCAAAUAUAAUAGCUUCUAAAAACAUUAGCCUGUGCGGGAGCACGGGUUGAUGGACUAGUGCUCGUAAAAUAGGGGCCGUCGGAUAUUCUGGUGGUUGUUCUUCUACUUGACUUUGAUCGAAUUUAUUUCACUUCCUGUUAUUUGGAUGCCUUAGAAUUAUUCUCUCUAGAUUUGACUACUAUUUGGAUGUUAUAGAAUAAUUCAAAGUUCUUCUUUUUACCAUGACACUAUAGCUUGGAUCACUUGACAUGGAUGAUCAGUGGUGGAGCCACGUUGGGGCCAUAGAGGGCCUCGAUCCCCUGUCCCGAAAGAAAAUGCUGAAGAUCCCAAUUCCCAACCGUAGCCUAACUCUCUCAUGCCACUUCACGCUGCUGACAACUCUUUAUGGCUGAUCUAUACAUGCAAACAUGUCCACUACUCUCCCUGUCUCCCACCCCCCAUUUCUCACACGUUAGCCCUGUUCCGGGCUUGAUCCAGCAUUUAUAUUGCCACUUAAAUUACUACAUAUUCUCAAAUCUCAAUGCAACAAGAGACAUCGUAUGGCAUAAUAUCAAACAAGGGCUACGCGCACAAAUGCACCGUCGCAUUUUUCAAUAAAUCGAUCAGUGUACUCGUUGGGUUAUCUUCCAAAAGGAUAAGAACGCACGUCAGACAGUAGUAGUAACAACACUAGCAGAAGUGAGCUCACGCAACCUUCGCCGUAUUGCGCUAGCUCGCCGGUGGAAAGCAAGCAUGCAAAUUCGCAUACUCAAUAUAUUGUACGUGUUCAAUUAACUAACAAGCUAAGCAUUUGCUCCCCCGGCCCCUUGAUUUUAGUCCACGCUUCGCCAAUGUGGAUGAUGUAAAUCUUGUAUGAUUUGGAUUUCAUUCUUGGACCUAAAAUGCUUAAUCACAAAUAAUGAUCUAAUUAGGCCAUAUUUCUUACACGAUGCCUAACAGAACCACUUCAAGACGGCAUCUGGUACUAUAUACUCCUUCCAUUCCAAAUUGUAGGUCGUUAAACAUACAUUAUAUCUAGAUGCAUAAUAAUAUCUAUGAAUUAAAAAAUCUAAAACGACCUACAAUUUGGAACGGAGGGAGUACGACACAACAUCAUGGGCAAUUAAAUUCUUUGACAAUGACCGGUAAAUCGAUGUCUAGAAAUAGCCGUGCAGUAUGGAGGACGAGGGUGAGGCUAGUUGUCAAUCUCAGCGAUGAGGCUGCAGGGACUAUUACAUAUAUCAUAGGAACUCUAUUAGGAUUAUACUAUAUAACAAAUUAAGUUCAAUUCCUUUGCUAUUCCUCCACUGUGAAUGAUACAGACACAUCAGUACAUACAUGAUACGGACUGAAAAUUACAUGUUGCUCCAAGCAGGUAAAGGCCGGCCGCAUGCAUAAUUUUGGUACACUACCAAGCAGUGAUCAGCACUCUGAACAUGUAUAAUUCAGUGCAUGUAAACUUUCUGGCGUAACACACCCGUAAUGGGGAAUCUGACUAGGCGCCGGUCCCUACCAGUUACAUCAAGUUGCAUUCCAGCUAUCAAUUAGGCGAAUCAUUUCAGAAGAAGACAGGGUUACAAGUACUUAUCAAACUGUAAAGCAUUUCACAGGAGGACAGUAUAAGCACGACACGUUAUAGAAAACUAUUUAGACCGUGGCCAAAACUGGAGUUAAUAUGCAGAAAAGGUAAGAAACAGCUACAGAACGGUGAGCUGCAGUCAAUAUAUUAGGGAAACAUAGCUACCCCUAAGGAACUAAGCAGGAUGCAUUACGGAAAAAAAAGAUAGGCAAAUACCACGGCUAGGCAGACAGUUGAUGAUUCAUACUGAAUCUUUGCCAGAUGGAUUGAGCAGAGUGAUGUGUUGGAGUCUGGACAGCAAGACAAGUAUGAGCACUGUCGAGCAGUGACAAGUAACACUGCAAUAGUUGUUCAGAGAUGACACCUGCACAAACUAAUGCUACAAUAAACCUUUCCCUCUCAAUCUCAUUGGAUGCUGCAAUCAGCAGGGGUAACAUGGAUUGAGCAGAGGAUACCGCAAGAAAGCUUCAGGUAACCAGACUUAAGCAUUCAAACCAAGGUACGUAACGUAAUUGGUUAUUCAGUGGACAAGCAAUAUGCAUUCUCUCAAGCAAUUUCAACAUAUCAAAGUAACACAACAUGUUGUUCCUUAUCCUCUUAUAUGCAAUCAAAAUUACAACCUACUACUGAUAAUUACUAAAUACUAGUUGUUUAUUUGGCAAUAAAAAGGAAAUACCCUUUAAUUCUCCGUGUUCCUCGCGCGAUCGAAAACAUGAGUGGUCGAUCGACCUGCAGUUGGACCAGCGAAAAACAUGGGUGGUCGACCUGCAUUUUUCGGUCCCAUCGUCCGGGCUGGAUGGAUGGCGAUGCCUCACCAAUUACGUUGCACCGACAUGGGACACGGAAGACAGCGGCGGAACGUGAGGAAAAUUGAUUGAAGGCGGGGGCCAACUGCAAGCUGUCCAGGAGAGCACCUGAUCGAGCAAGGGCCGCAAUGGUGGAUCUACGUGAUGCUUAUGCAUUGGCAACAAUUAAUGUCCAGCAGUGCAAUGCCAGUUUGUAGAUCUUGCUGGAGUUGCAUGCAGGAAUCCUAAAAGCUGCAGUAACGGGUGAAUUUGGAGGGCAGGGGCAAACUGCCACCAGGCUCGUGGUUGCCGCCGCACACUGAGGAAAACAAGGAAGCCGGUGACGGCGUAGUUUCCUACUCCUUUUUGCCGCCGCUGGUCCUGCCCAACGUGCUCAGUCGUCCUGUAGCGAUCUCCCUGGUUGCUCUUGCUCAUGAAAACUAACCAACAAGGAGAAUGGAAGAGCUACUUUGAUGAUCCAAGAUGUAUGGGUAUUUGUAAAACAAAAGGUGUUAAGAUAAGAUUUUGCUAAUGCUCAAAUGGACUGAAUCAGCGGUAAUGAUGGAACGAAGCGGCAUCAUUAGAUGUUUGGAAAAAAUUGCACAGGGAAGGGGGUGGCGGCCCGGCACCCAGUUUCGCCUUCAUUAAGGUACGCCCUGGAUACAGAUAAUCCGAUAGCCCGAUCCGGAUAAGACCACAUGGUGAUCCUACGUGGUUAUCCAAAAUCCAGGACACGCCGAUAUGAUAAGUAUGUACUAAAACAAAGAGGAAUUUUCUAAAACAACAACGGUCAUCCUAGCCCGAAGGCCCGUCCACACAGAGCUCUCACAUGCUAGUACUGGCCCUUGGCGUGCUCCUAGAGCCGACACAGUACGCCGCGUGCGACUUCCGCGCCAUCCUCUCCGAUAGAGGCGCGCACGUCGCCAUAGCUGCUGCGCACGUCGCCAUAGCUGCUGUUUCUUCAUUUUCACAAGCAAACGACAGCAGCAGUGCAGGAUCCAGAGGGAUACAGCUACUGUUCUCACCUCUGCCUUGGAUCUUUUUUUGUUCAUGAGAUAGAAAUAAGGAAUUAUUCCGCGGUGCAGGUCGGAGGAACAGCAACGGAGUCAAGAUUGGAAGAGUAGAAGGACCAUCGUCCAUAUAAUCUUGAGUCAAGUCGCGGAGUUGUGCUCGUACAUGUGCACAUGUACCGCUUGAGGUGGAAUAUAGUUAGUGACGGACUGGAAUUAGGUUCAAGAGAAACUGAGGUUUCAUGCCUAAUUUAAUUGUUAGAGAGGAAAUAAAGCUCUGUUGGUAAAAAAUAUCAUGCGAGACGUUCCGCCAGAUAAUGGUUACGCACGUUGGAUGUGCAUGUGGUGUCGACAUUACGUUGAAGGUAUGGUGUGUGUUUGUAGUCUUGGCACAUGAACACACCAGGCGGUCGUGAAGCGUUGCAACUAUAGAUAGGAAGUGCAGGAGCUGGCCGGGCUGGCGCGCUGCAUGUGGUAGCCGUCAGCUAGCCUGGUGUGUUGUGUCCAUGUUGGACACGGUUAAGCUACUGUUGUACAGCGCAGAGAGAAAGAAGAGAGAGCGGCCAGUUUGGUUGGCCGCCGUGUGCGCAUGCAUGUGUUAGGUCCAAGGCCGGAGAAGGGUCGUGGCACGCCGUUUCGUUUGGUGGCAUGUUUACUACGUACAUGCAUGCAUGCGGCGGGAGGCACAUCACUACUCCACACAACUACAUCAUCGCCGCCUCCAAACCAGCCUUCACCGCCGGUUUUGUAUCCGUCAUUUGACUCUAGAGAGGAGAAGGAGGAGGAGGAUGAGGAGAGAGGGAGGGAGAGGCGCACCUGGGAGGCCGGAUCUUGUCGCCGCUCCUCGCCCGGUGUGGCGUCCCGCCCCCCGGGGUCGGGCCCGCUUACACCUGGUAGCUCUCUAGGAUAUCAAGAAUUCCCUCACAGACCAACACAAGUCUUUUCUGCGCACUUUGUCCUCACUCGUGCGCACCCGGGAAGAACUUCCCGGUCGGUCACCCAUCUCGAAAUUACUCCGGGCCAAGCACACUUAACCCCGAAGUUCUUUGAGGAUGAGCUUCCGGAAAAGAAGUUGCAACUUGUUGGUAUGAGUAUUCUAUCAAUCCUAUUAAGCCUUGGGCCAGGAUGUCACAUACUCACCCCCUUAGAAGACCGACGCCCUCGUCGGUCAACCCCAAGCCAGGAACGUCCCCUCUUGGCCACGUCCGUGUGUCCAGUGCCAGCGCAUGUGCCAUGCUGUGUGACCACUCUGGGUCCACACCAGCCAUGCACACCAUGCCUGCGCAACUGCGACCACACGCGCCCGUGAAACCGCGAGAGUCGGCUCUGAUACCAACUGUGGCGUCCCGCCCCCCGGGGUCGGGCGCUCCGGGCCAAGCACGCUUAACCCCGAAGUUCUUUGAGGAUGAGCUUCCGGAAAAGAAGUUGCAACUUGUUGGUAUGAGUAUUCUAUCAAUCCUAUUAAGCCUUGGGCCAGGAUGUCACACCCGGCCACUGGAUCUCGUCGCCGCUGCGCCUCACCCGGCCGCCAGAUCUCAUCACCGCCGCGCCUCGCCCCAUCCCGCUGGCUGCCGCCACCGCUCCUCGCCUCAGGCAUGAGGUGAGGGGCGAGCAGAGGGGGGAGGAGAGGGGAGGCCGGGGAGGGAGAAGGAGGGGGCCGGUGGCGAAGGAGGAAGGAAGGGGAAGGAGAAGGAGGGGGCCGGCGGAGGAGAGGGGGUCGGUGGCGGAGGAGGGUGGGAGAGGGGCCGGCGGAAGGGAGGUAGCGGGAGGGUGGCGGCUGAGUGAAGGGAGUGCGGGUGGAGUGAGGGAAGGUGAGGGGGUCACGGGAGUGCGGGGGAGAGAGGGAAGGUGAGGGGAAGUGUGUGGGUGGAUGCGAGUCUUAAUCGAAAUCAAAGUGAAUAAAAAUUUCGGGUUCGGGAACCACCCAUCACCCCCGUUUGUAAUACGAGCCGGCAGCACCGCCGGCUCGUAUUACAAACCAGCAGUGAUGGUAUUUUUCAAUGCCGGUUUUAGUGUUCAACAGCCCAUUUACUAUAAAAUCGGCGGUGAUAGGCCAUUGGGUAAAACCGGCGGUGAUAGGUCAUCAGGGAUGGCUCAUUCUAUAGUAGUGCAUGUAUGUUGUGUUUUGAGAUUGACCAGCUGGUUGGUUCGACCAAGACUUCGAUUAGCUGUCCGGGUAAGUCAGGGUCGGGCCAGGAAAUAAAAAGGGCAAAGUCCACAAUACCACAACAGUGCGGACGAGGCGCGAGGAUGACAGAAGGUCGAGAGGCUGCUGCUCUUCUGUUUUUCUUUAGAGAAAAAAAAGAGGGAACCGGUUUUGGAUCAUCGUGGAGCUUUUUGUAUGGAUAUUUGUGUAGGUAUAUCUUUUGAACACAUUUUUACAAUGAAAAUCAAUCUUGUAUAAGUUGGUGUAUCGGUGAUAUGUCCUUCCUCUCCGGUCUUUAUUUUGCAUACCUGGUUUUGAUUUUAGAUUGGUUUAUUGAUCAACAUGAUUAGAUUAGUUUUGAUCCAUCAAAAACAGUGAAAGUGUAUCAAAUUAUUGACCUGAGAAGUUUGUUUGGUUAGACCUUCGUAGUUUUUUCUUAAUCACAAAAUGAGUGUUUAACCUUUUCGCGACACUAUCCGACAUAUUUGUUUAUUUUACAUCUUAAGUUUUAGACCUCCGAUUUACGUGAUUCUAAUUCGGUUAGUUAUAAAAUUUUAUAAACUAUUUUCCAACCAUGUUUUAUGGUUUUAGGAUUUACCAUCUAAGAAUGACACAAGAUUUAGUGGGCGAACUAGAAUAUAUUUUUGGGUGAAAAAGUUUCCGCUGUAGUUUGAACUACGAUUCACCUCCCCCUCUGAUAGAUAGGUUAGAGAGAUUCGAUCCUACAAGUGGCACCAGAGCUAUUUUUUCUAAUUUAUCUUAACCGGUGAUUAUAAUGCAAUAGAUAUUCCACAAAACCAUGUGUUUUCAAUGGUGCUGAUUUUCAGCUCUAGAAAGCAAAGAUGGAGGCAUACAUUUAAGAACAAGGCUCAUUGAUUUGGGAGAAGGUUACUACUCCUUUUCAAGUUUCUAAUCAAGUGAACGGCACUAAUCGAGCAAAUGUAGAGAACAAUAGCAAGACUAGGAAUGUGAUCUUCCAAGGUCUAGGAAGGAGUGACUUUAACCGUAUUGUUCAUCUCAAGUUGGCAUAUGAGGUAUGGAAACUACUUUGUGACAAUCAUGAAGGAUCAAAUAUGAUAAAAGAUGGUGCAUCAAUAUAUGUUUAAGAAAGAAUACAUGCGCUUUGUGAUGAAACCCGGUGCAUCUGUUGAUGAUUUAUUUGCAUGUUUUAAUAAAAUUCUUAGUAAUUUACGUGUUGUUGGAGUUGCACACACUGAUGCUGCUAAUGCUAAACAAGUACUUGCUUUAGACAUGUCCGUUUGGGAGAUGAGGGUUAGGUCUAUUUAAUAAUCAACUAUCAUGAGUACUCUUACAUUAGAUAUACUUUAUUCAAAACUAAAACUCAUGAAAAUUAGAUGCUCUUGCUAGAAAAUAAGGAAGUGCAUGGCUUUGGUCUUUCAACCUAAUAUGCAUAAUGAUACUUCUUCAUCUAGCUAUGCAUUGUCUUAAUUUGUCUUUACUAACUGAUAAAUACCUAGAACAACUUCCAGAAGAUGAUUUGGUCCCCCCUCUCUACUCACUUUAUUAAAUCUUUGCAUAAUGUGAGAUCAAGGAAGAGAGGGAAUUCUAGUCCUCAAAAUAAGAUAUUUUGAGUGUGUGGCUCGCGCAAUCAUAUCCAUUCUUAGUGCCUAAAGUUCCUGGUGAGGAUCAGGGAAGACAAUGAGACAGAACAAUAAAUUGAUAAGGAGAAAAAGAAGCGCCAUAACAACGACAAGAAGAAUAAGAGCUUUCUGAACCGUAGCAUUCUCAACUUGAGUGACAUUGAUUCAAACAGCAACGAUGAAGACAUAACAUAUAAAGGCAAGAAGGUGCGUAAUUUGACUUGCAUAUGUCUCAUGGCAAGCAACCAGAACUUCACCAACAGUUAGUGACAUAGGUAGCAACAACGACAAGGAGGUAGAACCUUCUAAUGAUGAACUAGCUAUUUCUAUUAAAAAAUUGGUACUUUAUUAGAGAAAAGAAAUAAAAAGAUUAAGAAAUAUGAUGCUUUGAUUGAACCUUUACAUGCUGAAAUUGUUAGACUUAAAACCUUUGAUUCCUAUUGAUGAUUCAUGCAAAUCAUGUGACACAAUAUAUCUAUGAUGAAUUUACAUAUCUAAGGGAUGUGUAUGCUUCUUGUAUGCUUUUUUUCAUAGCCUUUGGCUUUUGCCGUAAACUCGCAUUUGAAAAGGUCCUAUUGCACUCAAGAGUAUGGUGGCACAUGCCUACUGCAAAUCACUUGAAGCUGCAGUUGUGGCAGCACAUAAAACAUUGGAAAACAUUACAUGCUGAUUCCCUCUACCACUUAAGGAAGCGGUCAAGUGUCAUGUGCUGGAGUUGAUAAAAAAAACACUAAAUGGAGAAAGCGCGUGAGUCUGCUAAAAAUAGACUACAUGACGCGCAGAACCAAGAGCUCUUCGACAUAUAUCCUAUGAUCCUGCAAGCUAAAUGGAAUUACUUUUGAAAAACAUGUGAACGAACAUCAGGCCAUUGUGAGGAUGCAUUCAAACAACAACCACAGGUUUGGUACACAGCGUAUGAUGCCAAAUGAUAAGCAUGAACAUGAUCCUGAUGUGCUAUGCAGUCUUUCUAUUUGUAUAAUGUUAUGGUUGCUCCUGAACAUCUAGGUGUACCGGGUGAGCUCUAAGUACAAUUUCUAUAUAUGUUUGCGUAAUAUUCUUGAUGUGCUACCAUGCCAUGCGCUUGUUCUCUAAACCCUACUGGUAGAUAUGUUAUGUUUACUACUCUUAGCUUGCCAAUAUAUAGUGCGAAGAUAACUUAGAUGGUUGUUUGAUUCAAACGUCUGUUUUGUGUUGACAAAAUGUAGUCGGUCAUCACAUACACCCGUACGUAUUAUUAUAGAUAUUAAAAUGGUUUCUGUACAAAAGAGCUGUAUAUUUAUGCUGGUCCUACAUACGGGUUUAUGCGUCAUCUACGAACGGUGUUUGGUAGCACUAAAACCGUCUGUCAUUGGGUCAAUCCAGAUGUUGGUUUCACCAUUUGCGCCGUGAGACAAUAUUUCUGACUCUCUCGUAUAGACUCCAUGAAGACCGUCGGCUAAAUUGUUUUUUAACCAUUUGUACUGACACCUUUUGAUUUAGUGCAUAGUGCAAAAACCAUAAAGAGAUAGGCUUAUGGAUCGAUCAUCACGCACAGUCAAUCAUGACAAGCACACCACAUUAAUAGGUACACAGUUUAUAACAUUCCAAAGAUAGCAAGAGCGUGGCCUACCAAAUUAAACAAUAGCAUCCGCAUCGAGGCCACCAACACAAUCAGGCAAAACAUCACUUUAUGUGGUUUUAUAGAUGGAAUCCAAGAACUUUGACUAUUGAUAGAGUAUCCAAAUCACCAGAAGGGCAUGCAAUGGACAAUUACGAGUUUACACUUGUUGACCUUGCCAAUUUCGGUUGCAAAGAUGACCCAUGAGUACUUGUUGAGCAUGUUACCUAAGUAACUGAUCUUGCGAAUGAGAAGAAGCACAUUGUUGUCUUUAGAAAACAAAGAAUUCUAGUAGUUGAUGGUGUGUAGAGGAUGUUGAGGAAUACAAUCAGCACAAGAAAUUGGAGCUCUUUACUGAUCAUCCACAAAAGAUCAAAUAUGUUGAAGUAAGCACAGUCAAAGCCGUGAAGCCAUGUGUGCCCACUAAUAUAACGGAACAAUUCUUAAAGGCUAAAUAGUAUAGUAAUGAUAUCUUGUUUUGUAACAUAAUUACUUAAAUUUCCAAUGAUGUAUAAAUAUAUGCAACUUUUUAUAUAUGCCUAUAAUUAAUAUAGUAUGUCUUAAAAAUACAAUUAUAUAACGUAUGCAUAUAGUACUAUUCCCAAUUUUCAUGUAAUGAUUAAUUGUUUAAAUCUGGCAUUCGUGAAGAAAGAACACUACGAUGUACCCUAAUCUUUUAAAGUUAAAUUGAAAAGGAAGAAAUAAUUUGUGCUUGCACGUGACAUAAUAAGCACCCCUCAGAAAAAAUGGCAUCCAUAUAAUAGCUACCCCAUCAGUUCGACGUUUUCUAAAUCCUGGACGCUCAUCCGAUCGAACAGCAAUGUUCGCACACUGCCAGAUUUUUUGGCAGCUUUAACGUCUCAUUUUUUAGAGCAUUUAAAAAUAUGGAUUUUUUAAAAAAUUUCUUUAAUUAUAACAUAAUCUCUUCUCCGAAACAUUUUAAACUCUUUUCACAAAUUAAACCCUGCAUUAAAUCAACAUGAGUGUCGCAUUUGAUUGUUUCUAGGAAACCCUACACUGGUGGGAAAAAUGGGCAUUAGUUCCGGUUGGAUAGGCUCACAUAUCUCGAAAAUCCAACCGGGACUAAUCUUUCAAGACUAGAGGGCCCCCUUUAGUCCUGGGUCAUUCACCCAGGAUUAAAGGGGCCGCCACUAAAGAUUUUUUUUACCCUGAAUUCUUUUCCAUAUUAAUGCUAAUUAUUGCUUCACUUAUAUAUAUACACCUAUACGUAUACAUCCUUAGCAUACACUACUUACAUGUAUACGCUCGUAUUGUAUGCAUGUCAUAUAUAUAUUUCAUGAUAGUAUAAGCAUAAUAUUAAUUUUAACUACUAUAUAUACCAUUCUUAGUAGUUUAUACACAUCAAACUAGUAUUUAUACAAUUACUAUAUAUACAAUAAUUUAUCCUCGUAAUUCUUAGGAUCCUCCCAUCGUGGUGUUGCUCGGUUUGGCUAUUGAAUGUCCAUCGUAAUAAAAUUCUCCAUUGGAAUUUAUCACCUCCUUCACCAGAAAUCCUAUGAGAGCUUCUUGGAUUGCCAAAAGCCUCUCCUUCUCCAAGAGUUCUUCUCUAAUAUGCAUCAUCUGUAAUUUGAAAAUAUGUGAAUGUUACACCAACAAUUAAAAUAAGGAGCUAGAAAACAAUUAAUUAUUAAUAGGUUUAUUUACAUAUAGUUAUAUUGUCCGAUAUCACCUUGUCCCUCACGAAAUGGUACAUGUGCUCACAGACGUAGUAUCCACAUAAAUUAUUCCCUUGUUCCUUUCACAAGCACUUUAGUGGAAAAAACAAGUUAUGAAAUAUUCAUGUUAUAGAACGUACAAAAUGUGCAAACUUCAUACAUACGGGGAACGUUGUACUGAAUGUAAGUUUUUCUUUGAAAUCACCACGGUGAUACUUACGGAAUGGUUUCCAUGCACUACGAAAUAAAAUAAUGAAUGAUAUAGUGUUAGGUGAAAAUUUAGGAAUCAAACUUUUGAAUAGAGAUAAAGGUUCAGAAUUAUUACAAGUUAAGCAUAUCUUGAAUGUCUUGGUACUCAUCCUUUGGUUUCCUCAACUAAUCAAACACAAUAACGUAGCUUUGAUCAAUCAUAAUUAUAAGGAGAAUCCGGUGGAAACUACGUACAUAAAUGUUCAUAUUAGAACUAACUCACAUUAAUUAGGUAAGAAAAAGCAAAACGAAAAUAGACGGUACCCACACUUACUUAAAGCUGUAGGGUAGUAGUAUGUAUUGCUAGUAAUUCUGUUGCUCCAAGAAUUUGUAUAUUCGGUCCAAUAUCCUUUGGGUGAUCCCGAAUCUGAUAUUGGUUAACAAGCGCUAGGUCCAUGAAGCCAACGUUAAAGUACGAUUCUCAGUGGCACCUUUGAAUUUGCAUCCUAUAUAAAAUGAAAGACAAAGUUAGUAGGGCGACACACACACAAAAUAAUAAUCUGAGCCAAAAUUAACAUCUAAUAAACACACACUUACAGAACUCAGACACUGAUGAGAGAGACAUCAAGAGCAUCUUGAUGGUACACUUCAUAAAUAUCCUUGAAUUCCAAUCAUAGCAAUUUCUCACCUUCAUCGAAAAAAUGAAUCGGUCUAACAAGAAGAGCGAACAUGACCUUUUCCUUGGCUGACUGCUCCAUGUACCACUGAUUGAAUUCAUACAUCUUAGUUGAGAGCUUCCGUACCAAUUCAGGCCUAACUAGAGGCUUGCCUAACUCAAAGGGCCAUUUAGGUACAAUCUUUUUUGAAGGUGGCGGUUCGGCUCGCCCUAGAACUUCAGCUAGCGAGAGACAUGUGUCUUCCAUAAACUUAAUAGCCUUGAUUUGUUGUUCUAAAAGCAUAGCUGCUAUAGCUAGAGCGUCUUUAUCUGCUUGCUGAUCUUGCUGCCCGAGCUGGGGGACAGUACGACUGGACGACGACUCUCCUUGUUCUUUCUUCCGAUAAGACUUAACUAAUUAACAAUCAUAGUUCGAUAGUAACAUCUUCUUGACUUUUUUUUCAUGCCAAUAAAAACACUUUAAUUUGGCUGGAUCUAAUAGCUUAGGCUCCAUCUCCUUCGCUUUUCUUUCUACAACGAUUUUUUUCAAACCACUCCCUUACAUAUGCUUGCGAUGCCUCCACCAAUUCCUCAGGAGUCAUAUCACCUACUAGCUUCUUAAUAGGUUCAGACUUCUUUGUUUUCUUCCUUGGUUCUUUCGCCUUUGGUUGCUUUGGCUUGGAAGACGGUGGUCGCGACUUCUUGAGAGGUGCUGCAGGUUCCUUGCUCGCACCAGACUUUAGUCCCGGCGUUGCAAACGGUGAUCGGGGAGGGGUGUUAUUGUCAUCGUCGCUCGCACCUUCAGGAUUCGAUGGUGCUGGAGACGGUGAUCGAGCAAGACUGCAGGAUGGGACGGUCCCGGUGGUGAUGAUGGUUUUGGAAGUGGAUGUGCUGGAGAUGACAGUCUUGAGUUCUGAGGAGAUGGUGGCUGCAGGGGGUCUAUGGGAAGAAAUGAUGCCUCUUGGCCGGGGAUGAUGAUGUAAUGUUUGCGCCAUAGAAUGAUACCGUGAAGUGCAUCUCCUAGUGUCCUUUCCCUGUCACCUCCCGGGAGGUCGAGCUCUAGGCCUUCAUAUUGACUAUCACAAAUCUGCUCUACCCCAACGCUGGAGUAGCUAGGUGGAAUCGCCAUACCAUGGCUUGUCUACCCUGGUAGGAUUGGUAAAGCACUUCCGUACGCCACUUGUACAUAUAGGAGAAAUAAAGAAGUUAUUAAAAUCCUGAGACGUGGAUCAAUUGAGAUAAUUGUAUAAAUUAUAUACAUGUAUAUCUUAAUAGUAAGGUUGUCAAAUGGUCUGUACAGCUCACAUGAGGUGCGCGGAGUGAUGUCAUCCGCAGGGUACCAUUGGUUGUCUUGCGCAACCACGGGUAAGCUUGGCAUGUUCUCAUUGGGGACCCCUAUGGAAGCACAGCUGCUUCAGCGUUGAGAAGGGCUAACGACGAUGUUGGGAUCCGGCAGUGCUCCAGAUUGGGCCAUCUCAGUAACUGCCAGGGCCGCUCGCUAAUUAAUUUCUUCCUGCAUUCUUACGUCUUGUUCAUGCACUUUAGCUUCUAACAUGCGCCGCCACCUCUCCUCUUGUUGUUUCUUUCUUCUCUUCCCUCUUCUGUACAUGUCGAUGUCCCUACGGAAAGCAAACUUCCACAGAACCACCCCGAAGCCUUGGCAACGUCCUGGGUGUUUGGGAUUCCCAAGCGCCAAAGUCAGCUCAUCGUUCUCUCUAUCAGACUUGAACUAUCCCGCUUUAGAAUCUUCAAUGUUUUUUAUAUGCCUGAGGGCCUUCUCACGUAUUGUUUCAUUGAAAAUAAGUGUCACAUCCUUAGGGGUAAGGGUGCCUCCGUGCGCGUAAUACCAAUUCUUCGAUCGAUCGGGCCAAUCAAUAUUCGCUGCUACGAUACCUCGAUUGAUUAGGUCUUGUUCCAUCUUUCUCCAUUUGGGAAUUGCACUCCUGUAACCACCUUGCCCUAGAUGAUGAUGGUACUCCUUCUUCUGGGCAUUGCCUGAGUUCACACGAACCUUGUUCGCACUAUCUUUACUCCUCUUGUAUUCCAGAAAUGAGUUUCAGUGAUCUCUUAACUUUGGCCAGUCAUGAAAAUCUGGAGUUCAGUCCUUCUUGAUAUAGUUGGCAUCCAGAUUCUUCUUGGAGGUCUGAAAUUAGGUUGCCAUCUUCUUGAGCGUCCAAUCUUUCACAACUUUUUCAUCGAUGCCGUUAGGAAGUGUGAAGUGUUUCUUGACAUCUGCCCACAACAUAUCUUUCUGUGUCUAUGGGAGCACGUAUGGAUCACCUUUUUAACCCUUCCAUUCUCGAAUGCUGAUGGGCACGUUGUCCCUUACAAUAGCCCCACAUUGACUCACAAACUUUCUAGCAACUUUUUCGGAGCAAUUGGCUGGCCCUCUUCUAUCACUUCGGUGAUGUGAAGCCUUCCCUCCAUUAUCUUUGUACGACCUCGCGGCUUCUUUCGCUUCAUCGAUCCAAAGGGAUAAAAGUUCAAGAUUUGUUAAUUAGUACAUAGUAAUAAUUAAUAUGAAGUUAUAGAUGGGUAAAACAAUGAAAAUGAUAUAUAUACCUUGCUGGAACCUUCCAUCAUGGCAAUGUCUUGUUCCGCAUUGUCAUCAACAUCAUGCUCGAGCUCAUCAUUGCCAUCACCGGACAUGUUGAGGAACAUUUCCGCCUGGCUACCCUCAUCCUCGGUGUAGGUUCUUAGAACAUUUGAGCCACUACCACUAGCAAUGAUCUGCUCCAUUAUAUACCUUUCAUCCUCUUCAUCUCCCAUCUCAACUAAUAACGACAUUAGUUAUACACACAUGUAAUCAUAGAUACAUUAAAUUAAAGAUUGUCUCAAGUAGUAUAGUAAAUGUAUAUACAUGAAAUCAUACAACCAUGAAAUCAUACAAAACUUAUCAUAUAUAUUCAUAGACACACGAUUGAAAAUAUACACUUAAAACCAUACAAUAAAACUUGUACAAUUUAUUACAUGAAACUUACAUGAAAUUAAACAUUAAAAUUUUUUACAUGAAAUAAAUACACAUGAAACCAUACAUUGUACUAAUUUUCUAUAAUUUUCAAAGUAUUUAUACUAAUUUCCUAAGCAUUUAUACUAAAUUCUACUAAUUUCAAAACAUUUGCACUAAUCUACAAAAUUAUACUAAUUUUCUAAGCAUUUAUAAUAAAUUAUACUAAUUUCUACUAAAGUAUACUAAUUUCGUAAGCAUUUCGACUAAUCUACUAAAUUAUACUAAUUUCCAAAGAAAUUAUCCUAAAUUAUACUAAUUUCUACUAAAGUAUACUAAUUUUAAAGCAUUUCCACUAAUCUACUAAAUUACAAAAAUUUCUACUACUUAAUACUAAUUUCUACUAUUUUCUACUUAUUUCUACUAAUUUUCUAUUGAAUUUCCUAAUUUAUUUCCUAAUUUCAAAAAAUUGGCUUGCAUCAGCAAGCCGGGGGCUUGCGCAGCGCUACAACGCGUGCGUACCUCUUCGUGAGGCGGCAGCAGCCGGGAGGCGCGCGGCGACGAGGAGGAGGCUGAGGAUACGGAUGGCGCGCACGCAGCGAGCCGCAGGGUGAUGAUGAGGAGCCGCGAGCGCGAUGGUUGGGGAAGAGGCCAACGGCGAUGGCACCACGCCGUGUGCGGCGGGCAGCCGGCGGCACUGGAGAGAGGGGCAACGUUGAGGCUGGCGGUGGAGGGGUCGCGCCGACGAUGGCGGUGCGGGAGUGGCGUGGCUGGGCCGGGGCGAAGGAUGAUGGAGAGGGCGUGUGCGGGCACCGGGGCAGAGGACGACGGAGAGGCGCGGUCGGGGCGAAGGAUGAUAGAGAGGCGCUGGGAGUGGCAGCGGUGGAGGAGGACGGGGCAGUGCGGCACGUCGAUGGGGACCAACGGCGGCCGGGGCGGAGCAGAUGAGAGGUGGCAGAUCAAGGGAGUGAAGUGAGGAGGAAGAAGGGAGCAGAGAAGAGUUAUUUAUACCCCCAUUUAGUCCAGGGUGGAGUUUUCAACCGGGACUAAAAGGGGCUAGUUGUGAUGUCUUUAGUUCCGGUUGGUGUUACCAACCGGGACUAAACGCCCCACUAGAUUCCCCUCGAUGCUUCUAGCUUUAUUAGCCGUUACAACCGGGACUAAAGGGGGUUUUUUAGUCCCGGUUGAUAUUACCAACUGGGACUAAGGAGCCCGUCGGAGGUGGCCGUCGGUGGUGGGAAUUUGACCCAGGACUAAAGCUCUUUUAGUCCCGGGUCAAAAAAUGACCGAGAUAUAUGUCCAAGGAUCCAAAGUCAUUUUUCUACCAGUGCUAUCCUAAAUUCUCAACCUUCAACAAAUCCUAGGAAUAAUUUCUCCCCAAUUCCCCCUCUUCGAAAAAUCCUUAAAUUAAUAUUUAAACCUAAUUUGAAUAUUAAUCUCUUUCAAAACCUCUAUGAAAUCUCGCCAAACCUACUCCAAACCAAACAUUAUUUCAAACUCCAAAUUCAAAUCCAAAAGCCCUUUCAAAUAAAUAGGAAACCCCUCAAUUUGUAAACAGGCCGCCAACCUCGUCUCGGCCCAUCUUUCCUUCCCAGCCCGAUCCACACUCCCAGCACGCUGCCUACCAGCCAACCCAACUCCCCACCUCCCUCCCACGCACAGCCCACAUGCGCUGGCCCAGCCCAGCUCGCACACAUCUCCUCUUCCUCCUUUCGCACGUAGCACCGCCGCUGCCAGCGGACAAGUCCCCAACGCUGCCGCACCACACCGCCUCGUGAGAUCGCGCCACCGCCCAACGCCGGUGCGCCCCCUUCCCUCUCCUCCCCUCUCCCUAUGUCCUCCCGCCCAAGCCUAUCCUCCCACCUACAUCGCUCACAUCCAUCCUCCCCCCGACUGCUCCACCUCCCCAGUGCUGCACCACCACCUCACCCCGCUGACACCCUGCCUACCAUCGUGUGUGCACCCCAGGCCAUCCUGCUCUGCCACCAGUGCCGUACUCCUUCGCCACCAAGGCACCCGAGUACACUCCCCCUCUCCUCCCUAUCCCCUCCCUACCCACCACUGCAGCACUGCCGCAUAGCCACGCCGUCGCAUGGAUGCAUUCCCCCUCGCUCGCCUUAACAUCCCCCCUUGCCACAUACCGUCACCCCUUCUCUUCCCAUCCUCUCCCAACCAACCUCAUCUAGCAUGAUAGAGUAGCCGCCGCCGCUGCCAUACAUCCCCCCUUGCCGCUACUCCUCUUGCCCCGCUCCCAAAACCACCCAACUUCCUUGCGACCAAACCACUCAACCCACCUCGCUGCCCAUACCACUUGCCAUCCUUCUUUCCCCCUCGCCGUACAAAACCGGUCGAGCAAAACUAGCCAGGGUAAACAGAUAAGUAUUAUAGAUAGGGUAAACAGAUCACAUCCAUAUAUAUGGGGUAACGCAACCAAAAGUAGCAUGCGCCUAUUGUCUUCUUGUUGUAGUUCCAGCCAAAAUGGUAACCAAACUAUGUAGCACCUUGAUAAAAAAAAUCAUCUCUCAGAAAGGCGGCUCGCAAGCGGCCUACUUUCUUGUGGUCACCACUGCGAGGUGCGUGUUAACGCCUCCAGUUUCCCAAAGUUUUAUCUCAAACGACUCCUACAAUACUCGCCAUCGAUCCUACUCAACAUUACGCAAUCGUUCGGUCUUUUCUUCCCACAUGCUGUCACCAUGCAAGGGUAAUCACACCAACUUCCUACGCACUACUAAGCUGUAUCCGCAAGACAUAGACUAAUCACCACGAUUACAUCUAUUCCCACUAAUGGCAUAUGGUAGCUACACAUAUGAAAAUAACCAUGCAUCAUAGUAGAUCAAAGUAAGCACAAGAUUAGAUUGAUAUCACCAUUGUGUGUACAUAAGCCUUGAUGAUCACAAAGCUCGGCUCCACAACUCUACCCGCAUAGGGACGCCAUGGUGGCUAGGGUCUAGCCUAAGCCAUCUCCUAGGCAACUUUAAGGACUUGCAGAGGCCGUCAUCUCCCUCUGGUGUAUGCCUUUAGUUUCAUCGAGUUCCGAUGGAUGGAUCCGUGGGCUUGGUGGAUUUUUGGAGUAUAAAUAGUUUGGAGAGCGCGUGGCAGAAAUUAGAAGGUGAGAGGAGCAAGGAAAGCCCCAGGCUGAUUGGCCUGGGGGGUCCAGGCUGAUCGGCAUGGUCCUUCCUUUUAUCCCCUCGCACCCAACUUCGUCGCCAAGUCUCCUCUGAUGUUCUGGAAGCUUAUUUUUUUAUGCAUGUGGGCCUGGCACGUCGAUAGCUUUGGGAUGAGAUUGAUCUUUGAUAACUUUCCAAAUCUCCACUUGAUCUUCUUUGAUUCCUCUUUGAUCCCAAAGUGAGACUUGUCAUAUCUUCAUAAUCUUAGCCCUUAAGUAAUCUUGGAGGAAUGUUUGCCAAAAAUGAGCGUUCGGAGGGGGCCAGAAGACCCCUAGACAACCAGCUUGGGCUUCACCAGGCCGAUCGCCCAAGGCUCUUUCUGAGCUUGCUGGCCUUCGUCUUUGACAGGUUCAUUGCUUGUUCAAGGCUUUAUCCAAAAAUAUGCUUUUAGGUACAAUUUUCCGCAAAAAUAGAAUGUCCUCCAAAAUACAAUGCAUAUGUGAAAAUGGGAUUAUUUCAGGUGCCAAGUGGUAGGUUAGUAUAAGAAUAUUUAUGAAAAUACCACUUAAAUGGCACUAAAAAUGUGUCAAUAACGAGCGUCAACAAGCUCCACCCUCUGCUCCCCGCGGUGGAGCCCUUUCCCUCCCCUACCUCACCCCCACAACACCAUGAAUGAACUCCCCACGAGCUCCUCGUUCGGCUGGUGCAAACUGCGCACCCAGAGGCGGCCUAAAAUGUCGUCCCAGCGUGCUCCGGCGAGCCCCCGCGGUGGCGGAGAUGGCGGGCGUGGCGGUGCCGCCCAGCCCCGGCGUGAACCGGCAUGCCGUCCGCCCUCCAUCUCACCCCCGUCCGUCCUCCUCUCAUCCUUUUAACCCGCCAGGUAGGCCCACGGCAUAACGUCGUUGCCCCCACCGUCCGCCUCUCUCCCCGCUCCUCCGUGCAUGCGGCGCACAAGAGCCACAGACCCAAGCCGCCCCGCGGUCCAUCACCCAUGGAUGCGGUCUACCAACUAGUAAACCGCAGACCCCUUCUGCUUGCACCAGCCACUUCUAACUGCUACGUGCACUCGGAAAGUGUACACCAAAAACCACUCAGAGCCCUUCCCAACUUCCAAAAAUUCUUCAAAAAUCACCAAAAAUCCCAAAUAAUAUUCUAAUCCUAUCCAUGCCUUUCUUCUCUAUAGUUCACCUCAUAUGAGCCCAUUUUGCUAAGAUCUUAAAGCCCAACCUUAUUAGAAAAGAUGCCGUACCGCCUCCACCCGUCGUAAGGCCGAAGGCCGAAGGCUGAAGGGUCGAAGCCGAGUGCGUCGUGUGACCUCUAGCCAUACUACCCAUGUCGUUAACAGCACCUAGCCAGCUGUUCCUCGCUACCCUAUCGUCGCCGCUAACCCCUAUCGCUGCUACGCAUAUGCUUGAUCUUGCCUGGCCCCACCUGCCACCGUGUGGCUAUCCCCUAGCAUCGGGUCAGGUCGAACCGGUGUCCGACGAGCAAACUCUCAAGUUCUACUCUUUAGGAUCAUUCCACAAAUUCCCUAGUAACCCUAACCCCUUAAGGAUCUGUUCAAGCCUUUGGUCCAUUCCACCACCCAACCGUUAUGCUGCCCAAACCAAACCUAGAUAUCAUCCAGGUAUAGUCAUUAUGUUGCCCAGUUAGAAACAUAGAUAUCAUCCAAGCCCAGCCGUUGUGCCGCACAACUGAAAAAUACGAUUAUCAUCUUCCCCUAGCCAUAAUGUCAUCCGACCUAAAUCUCAAUUAUCGUCCAAACCUAGCUGUUGUGCUGCCCGACCAAAACCCUAAAACAACCCUUUAAAUAUUUUGAAACCCAUUUAUAAAUAAUUAAUGAAUUAUCUUUCGAAUACCCAGGAAUUCACCCUUAAUCAUCAGGUAAUUCCCAGAAUACUCAUCAUUUUUCUUUCUUUUCAUUCCUUAGGAAUUGAUUGGUGUACUGUUUUAUUAAUUGUUAUUUUGUACGCUAUUAUCAGCCGGUAGAUGACAAGGCUCCGUCCCGAAGCUAAGGAUCUAGAAGGCUUGGAGCCAAGAACACUGGUCGCCCUAGGAGACGUUAAGGAUUUUUUAUGAAGGCAAGUUUCAACUCCUAGCGCAUACUUUAUCCCAUGACCAACUUAAUAUGGAUUGCAUUAGUUUCUAAAUUAUUUCUCUAGGAUAUCGUGCUAGCUAGAUUUUCCCCUUUCGCUAUUGAAAUGCCAUAGGCCAAACCACCCUAGGAAAAUUACUACUCCCUCUAACCCUCCCUAUAGUAGAUACGCUAGGAAAGUUGAGUCACGCCCCGUAAAGGGGGAUAAAACCUAGUUGGAUCCUCUACGAGGAGGAUCUAUCACCCCACCAUAAAUAUUUAUGUUUUAUAAAAAGACUUAGGAAGGGUUUUCCUUUGGGAAUGCGUGAGUUAAUAACAAGAUGAUGGUAAUACAAAUCCUAGGGUGUAUUUUGGACCCGUGGGUAAGGGGACAACCUCUGCGGAGGACAUACUGCCCUGACGCUUACCCUAGUCAUGUAAGGAUCGGCUCAUUGGGAGAGCCUUUCUUGUGACACGUACUGCCAUACGUGCUAAAAAGGUACAGACUUCGUGAGUGCCUAUUCAUAUGAGGCCUUGAUUCGAAACCCGCUAGCUGAACCUAGUCAUCCAUCCCAAGGGGUCAAGGUGGGCAAUGUAUAUACUGGAGCAGGACCUUCGCAGAGUCCCAGGUCCGGUCGGCACGGGUUGACUGUUUGGAGGAUCGGAAACCCUGAGCGCCAGAGGCCCUAUUUUAUUUAUUUGUGCACAUUUCCCGAGAUUGGAUCCGCAAGGCGGAUGUUAGUGGCCCCUGUUUAGACCCCAGUAUGUCCGUGGAUGGACCUAGGGAAUGCUAGUUAGAGAUAGACGCGGGCGGGCAUGGGUCUUGUAGGUCAGUACCGCCUAGGAUCAAGGUAUGGACUAAUCGAACGUAUGGAUAUGUACACCUAUGUGCAGAGUUAUAAUCUAUCAAUAGCCGAGACUCACGGUUAUGAGCCCACUUUUUUAAAGCCCCCAUGAUUAGUCUUUGGGUGGGAAUUAGUGUGUUGAAAAUGUCAGAUGAAGGUCGUGGACCGGAUUCCAGAAUUAAAACCUGGGGACUGGUAGGGGAGGUAGUUCCCCCCCCUCCAGGACCACAACUUUCAUUAUAUACUAUAAUAAUAACCUUUAGAGAGUCUUUACAAAAGUCACCUUUUUUAAUCCACUUUGCAUAUGUGAGAUGCUUUAGGCAUAGGUCUUGCCCUUCAACCAUACUCCUUGGCCACCUCCCAUAUUGCAUAUAAUAUACUAGUUAAGGUUGGGAUUUGCUGAGUACCAACCAUAAGUGUACUCAGCCUUGCUUUUAUCAUACAAGUCUCCAGGUGUUUCAGACCAUCUUGUUAGUGGAUGGAAACUUGCGCUAAGAUGAAAACCUUACUUUUAUUAAAUUAUACGCCUUUUAUUGCUUAAAUACUGAACUAUGAUGGUAACUGUAUUAGUUUACUAAUCCAGGGACUAAUACAAGUGGUCAGCAGGACUCCCAGAGGGAGGUCCCCACAACAGCCGCCCGCCAGUUCUGCAUGCAACCAUGGCCCAUGCGCUCCCACGUGUGACCAAGCUAUCCUCCAGUCUUCUGCACUCUUCUUGCUCUUCUGCGCGCCAUGCCACCCACCGGUCAGCCUAUAGAGCAUGCCACCACGUGCGCUGGAUGGUCCCCUGAGCCCUUGGCUGGGCCUAGGUUAUGUACCCAAUGGUGGAGGGAGCCCCCUGGCUUGCAAUUUUGCAUUGAAAAUUUUGAAUUUGAUGAAUUUUUUAGAAAACUUAGCACUGUUGGCCCCCUAACGAUGAAAAAACGAAUUCCUGGCUACGCCCCUUUAUGUACCUGUGAACAGCAGCGCCCUUGCUGUUUCCUUGGCCCUACACACACGCAUCCUUGCUCGCCCCUCUAGAGCAUAUGGUCACCACUGCCCUGGCCUUCGGCUCCACUCAAGCCACAGCGGCAUGCUGGCCUCAUCUGUGUCGCACUGCAAGGGAGGCCGACCACCAUCCUUGAACUUCUCCACCUGCUGACCACCACAUUGGUCCUGAGCGCACCCUUGCUCGCCCAUCAGGAGGAGAUGCCACCACUGCCUCGAUUCCCCGCUGUAGCCCUUCACUUUACCUGCAGCCUCCCUGUGACAUCCGACCCAACUUUGGAUGGCCCGGUAGUGGCCCAUGAGCGCAUGUGCGCAUGUUUAGUACCACAUUGCUAGUUAAUAUCCAGGGUAGACCCAACUUAUAAGCCUUUCGAGGGUGUUUACAUAUGUGCGCAUGUUUACACGAAACGAGGACGAAAGUGUAAGCAGGGUGCUAUGUGUACGCAUGUCUGCCCCUCGGAAGGGCUGGGCAGUGCGACUUUGGAGGAUGGGGUGUUACAAAUGGUAUCAGAACCGACCCUCGCGGUUGCGCAUACGGGUUAGUGUGCAAGCAUAUGGUGCCGGCACUGGACAUAUAGUCGUGCGCUAAGAGGGAACGUUCCUGGACAUUUGCCCAAGUGUGGGUGAGUUGGACCGACGAGGACGUCGGGUUCUUUGAGGGGGGGUGUAUGUGACAUCCGGUCCAACUUUGGAUGGCCCACUAGUGGCCCAUGAGCGCAGGUGCGCAUGUUUAGUACCACAUUACUAGUUGAGUAAGGGUGGUGGAGCCAACUUAUAAGCCUUUGUCCACCAGCCAUAGCACCUUUGAAUUAACCCUUUUACACGAAGCGAGGAUGAAAGUGUAAGCAGGGUGCUAUGGGCACGCAUGCCCGCCCCUCGGAAGGGUUGGACGGUGCGGCUUGGAGGACGGGGUGUUACACUCCCUCCUAUUUCUUUUUUUCAUUUUUCAUUUCCAGUUGUAUAUAAUUACUAUAUAUUUAUAAAUUUUGAAAAGAAGUGUAUAAAAAUGCAUUUACAAGCUAAUUAGAAAAGGAUGUUUUAAAAAGAUAAAUGUGGUUAUAUUUUGUAGGUAAAUCAUGUAGUUACGUUGAUAUUAUGUACAUAGUGGCAAUAUUUCUUAAAUUGUCUUUAUUUCUUAAAAUUUACUUUACAUGUCUUUGAUUCAAUGUCAAAACUUAAUUCGACUUUGAUGGUUUUGAACCAAAACUGUGUGUCUAACGCUAAGCGCAUAGGAUCCUGGUGUAAUGCUAAUCCCAAUCAUUUAGUCAGUUUGGGGAGCUUGGCUAUCACUUGCACACAGCAAACCAUGUCGAUCACGGGCCAUGCUAAUCCAACUUAUUGCAGGUGCCUAGGAUCCUGGACUGUUUCCUGGUGCAAUGCUAAUCCCAAUCAUUUAGUCAGUCUGGGAGCUUGAUUAUCACGUGCCCAAAAUGUCGAUCACGUACUGGCAAGCUUUUCAUUAUUAGUACCUUGCUGCUCUUCUCUCACAAUCUCGUCAGAGUUUUGUUUCUCACCGGAUGACAAAUAGCAUCUCCUAUUGUCCUAUGCCAACCACACCCAUCAUGAUUCAUGCAAGAGUCAGCAUCGGAUCCUUGUGCUUGAUUAUUAAUUGGGAGCGAGCAAAUACAAUGUGACGGUACAGGAACCCAUUGCUGUCUCUGCUGUAUGAUUUUCGCUUAUUGAUGCCGUGGUUUGAUGACUCGAUGGGCCUCAACCACGCGAUCAGAUCUGCCCACCCAUCGAUCAGAUCUGCGUACCCAUCGAUCGGCGACAGGAGUACCUUAUAAUCAGCGGCCAGCUAGCUGUCUCUGCCAUCCCUGCAUUAUUCAUGGCCAUCUGCGGGCCGUGGGGGUAGCCAUCGUCAGUAGCCGCGAACGUCACGAUCGAUGUACCCAUCGAUGAAUCGGUCACGGUUUGCAAGAGACAAGAACGAAACCACAUCCACCGUACGUGCCGGCACCUCAGCCAUGAGCCAUGCAUGUGACGGAGAGCUGAAUGGCUGGAGCUAGAGGGCGGGCCGGGACAGCUCCGUCACGGGGUCACGGGCAUGCCUCGCACCCUCGCUGCACAGUGCUUAUCACGAACAAAUCCAAUCAGAGGCGCUGCACGUACGACAGGCAUGAUCGGUGCCGUCCGACAGAUUGUUUGUUCUCCAUGCAUAUUGCAUGGGAAUUUGACCGUACCUCUUCCAUUCCAUAUUGUGGCUGGGCCUGGGCUCGGCUCAUAAGCUCCCGGGCGCGGCCAUACCUGCUGCAUCAGCUCUCGGCGCUCCUUUUCCCAUUUCCAGCCGCUGGAAACACCGCACAAGAGCCAGGUCGAUACGUCUCCUAUGCAGCUGGGGAUGUCUCAAUCCUCCACUGGCAAUAAUUUCUCGGCACGGCUGCCACACAGGCCGGUACUGGAGCGCGUGUGACCUGGCUGUGGCCAGUGGCCAUCCCCAACCAUGUUCAGGCAAGAGGAAGCAGAGUCUCCCCGACCACAUCCGUGGCCUCAGAACUCAGAUCGGGUCCCCUUCCCCGUGUGUGGCCACAUGCAUGUCCUCUUGUCGUCUUGAUCGUUCAGUGUUGAGAUUAGGUUUACUGAUUCACUGUACACGAAUUUUGAUAUUACCUUUUGAGUAAGUUACUCAUUUCCAAACCAUUUUUCAUUUUUGUCCGCAGAUAGAUAUGGGGAUUAUUUGAGUCUGAUGGGGUACUUUUCGAGGUAGAUGGCUACACCUUUUUGUUAUUGACGCUUGUGCAUACUAAGAGUUAUAAAUAUGGAACUUGUAAAUCUUGCACGACCCUCCAACCCCGUUUGUGAAGUAGCCACCAAUAAUUGUAUAAGGGAGGAGAGACCCUUGGUGAUUUGCUAAAGUCCUACCUAAUAAAUAUAGCGAGAGGCAUCAAAAAAGAUAAAGUGGAGACCCACUUGUAUAUAGGGAAGGCCUGUCGCUAUCCACGUUGCGCAUGCAUUCUCCCACGAGGGGCUCCAAAGAGAACUAGAGGAAAGCAAGAUUUUUCUGAUAUGGGAGUUUGCACAUUUGGUUGAUAGCCGCAUUGCGCCGCAGCUUGCCACAAAUCCCGUGCCGCACUUCUGGACAUCGUUUGAUUGGUUUCUAGACUUCCGGCGCGCCGCAGAGUACUCGCUGGCCUGCAGUUCAUUUUUCUCGCCAAGAUGUGCCAGACUUGCUGCAGCCAUUUUCAGCACCAGACAUUUGGUAGCGCCGGACUUCAGGUGCGGCUAGGUCUCGACAGUAUCCAAACAGAUCUUUACCUUCUACGUUACUUAUUGUACUUUACAUUUCGCACUUAUCAUUUUUUAAUUGCCAUGUGUAGUUUGUAGGAUUAGAAUAUAGGAUGCAAAACUUUUACGCGGUAGAAAUAACAAGACAUUAAAAAACCUAUGCACAUCUAGAUAGUUUUUGUAAUAGUUUUUAUAUGUUCUUGAAGCCUUCGUUUUUUAAACACCUAGUUCACCGUUCACUUGUUAGGUUGUCACGAUCCCUUCAAUUAGUUUGUUCAAUAGACUGUAUGAUCUUAAAAGUACACAUGAUCUCAAAAGUGCUCCACAACAGCACUAAGCAAAAGUAUAGCUUGGUUAAGGAAGCUUUUAAUUCUUUGAAAAUGUUACCCAAUGAAUUAGCUAAUGAUAUGUACUCAUAUUUAAAUGUUAUUAUCAAUAAGCUAGGUGCAAUAGGCUUGACCAAGCUAAACCAUGCAAACGUCACAAGAAAGAUCAUUCAUGUUCUUUUCAAUGAUAAAUGCGCCUCCAUUAUUGUCACCUAUUUCCACUGAUUUGAAGACUCCAACAAGAUAAAGCCAAACAAAGCUAUAAACAAGAUUAUUGCUCAUGAGCCAUCCGUGAAUGCUCCAUCAAGCCAAGACAUUGCUCCAUCAAGCAAAAAAUAAAAGUAGGAGGAUGACAAGCAAGAAUCUUCUGCAUCAUGCAAGAAUCAAGCUCAAACUCAAGUUCAAUUGAGGAAGAUGAAAGUGACUAUGAGGAGAUAAGAUGAGGACAAUGAUGAAGCAACUUGUGUAAGGAUGAACAAACUACUAAAUAAGAUCUUCCAAAGGUGUCCCCUCUACCAUUAAUUGAGAAAAUGGUUCACUACAACCAACAAAAAUGAACAAAAUAGUUGGUUGUGGUGAGAAUGGACACUACAUAAAUAUUGUCUGCGCACGAAGAAGAGAUGCGAGAAAAAAAAAAGAAGAAAGAAAGAAAGGUAAGCAAGAAGGCCUCCAGUAUUGGAUCGAUAGUAGUUGUUGCUGAAUAUGUUCUUCAGGAAUCCAUUCCCAAGGUUACUUUUUAAUUAGGCAUGUCAAUAAUUUCUUUGUAAAUAAUGGUUAUUGAUGAAGAUGCAGCUAAUGACAUCUGAUAUUCUGAUGUGACCAAGGUUAUUACUUUUGAUCCUGAAAUUAGUCCUUGGUUACAGUUUGUUACGUGUGCAUUAGUUUCAUGUCUAUUUGAAAUAAGUUCAUGCUUAUUUGCAUAUUUUAGAUAAAGGAUAAAAUUCAGCCUACUAUUCAACGAGAGAGAGACCAGAGGCGCAUAUGCUUAUGCCUCUGCAUAAAAGAGGUUUGGAUGCUGCCUGCGAUCCAGGGGAAUCAAAACCGUCCAACGUUUCUGGAAGAGAAAGGAAGGAAGCAAGAGAUUUGUGUCUUUGGUCUGUGCGGCCACUAGAUCAUACGCCACGUCAAAUGGGACUAGCUAAUGACCCAUGGGUCCCGCCGUGAGAUAAGGAUGCAUGCAGAUCAUGCUUCCUUUUAUUCUGAAGAGAGUCCAAUCAUUUAUUUUAAUAUAUAUAAUAAAAAACCAGUCGGAGAUGCAUGUAAGAGCAUCCGGUAGUUACAAAUUAAUACGGAGUAUAUUUCCUUUCAAUUAGGCUGUUUCGUUAGGGAUUUGUGUGAUUCUGCUUGCAUGCCAAUAUAUGUGGCUUUAAAUAGCCAAGAGCACAUCUAAUGUAAUUAUAUUAGAUUAGUAAAAGUGCCUGUGCAUUGCUACGGAUCUUUACCCUCUCUAAAAUAAUUAUCUACUUAUUCCCAAUUCAUGUUUCAUGGUGCUUCUCCUUCCCGAAAUUCUGCACAAGGAAAAUUAAUGAAGUAGAUAAACUAUCACAAGGAGAAAAGUUCAUGGAUUUCAUACCAGGUGCUAUCAUAAGAAUAUGGAGGUUCUGGAUGUAACUAGAUGCUGUGAUCCGUCACCUUUUUAAAUUCCUAAGUUAUAUGCCAUAUUUCCCUAAACUCUUCGCAUAAAAAAAUGUAACUUUGAUGUGCAUAAUUGAAAUCACAAUUAAUUUAUUAUCAAAAUGUAUAUUGAUCCUAUCAUCCAGCAAUUUUAGUAUUAGAGUGCUUCAUAAAAUUUGUAUUUGGUCCCAUUCAUAUCCUCGGCUCGUUCUUCGGCUGUAUAAUCACUAAGUUAAAAUUUAAAUUAGUAAUUCUGAUUAAAUUAAGGAGGUUUGGACAGCAAGAUUGUAGAGCAGACCUUGAGACUAUCUAGGUUGUUUUGCCAUUAUUUAAUACAGGGUUUAAACAUACAUUGGAACUUCUGGUACAUAGAUUUAGUAUGCACGCAACUCCAAUUUUAGCUUUCAUGCAUUACAGACGUAUUGUCCACAAAACUUUCAACCUAUAAAAAAAACUGCAAGGCUAAAUAAAUGCUUACCCUUGAUUAGAAUUUGCUGGAAACACUUCUAAAUUUAAAAACUUUCACUACAUGCAAAUUCAUCUAACAAUUACCGAACUAGCUUGAGCAUACUUCGAGCCGCAUAUAGUACCAACGAGCACUCCAGGCAGCACUAAGGCAUCAGUAAUGUCAGGCGGAUGCCAGGCAUUGGUGAUGGCAUGUGGUCAGCGUCCACAGCAGGCAGCAGGGUGGAGAUACCGCACUUUGCAUCUGUGCUAGGUAGAAUGCUAUGACAACAGCUUAUGCUUUGCUGCUGCGUGGAUUAUAUGUGAGAUCGUAGCGGACCGCUUCCGAGAAGGCCGGCGCUACAUCAGGGCGGUGCGCACAGGUGCAACAGUGGGCGACAGCACCCGUGCACGGCGAGAUCGAAGCUCCGUGUCGCACCACCGGUACGGCAUGGUGGAGAGCUUGGGAAACAAAGGAGAUGGAUGGGUUGUUUGACUGGGUCGCAACAAGAAGUUCAUGCUCUUAUCGGGAUGACGGGUUGAUUAUGAAAAAUGCGAGAUAUUUUUUUUGCAAAUCGUCAAGAACUAUAAUUGUUUAACUCUCAAGACUACGGGUUGAUUAUGAGGAAUUUUUUUACAAAACAACCACGACGGUUGGAAGAAAUAACCGCACUAAUAUUAGGUAUAGAUAUAGAUUUUGAUAGUGAUGAAUUAAACCACCGUGUGUUAGCCAUUGUGCUGUCAGGGUUCAUCCCAGUGUUAUCAAGUUUUGAUGAGAUCUCUUAAAACCCACAGAUUAAGAAUUUAUCUCUUGGGUUACCCGUCGAAUCUAUAUGAUUCAACUCUUCCUGUUCAUGUUAUUGUGAUCAUUGUAGGAAGUUCUACAGUGUGGUAUUGCAUCUGUUCACCAGAUCGUAAGAUCACGCUAGUUACAUUCGGAUAUUGUUGUUUACAUUUCUUAGAUGGUAGUAAGCAAGCGUUAUGUGGAGACAUGGAGGAAAGAACUGUGCUAGAAGCUACAAACUCCAAUUUUAGAUUGUAGUUGUUUCAUUUUACAGUUGUUGUUCCCAUGAUUUGUUUCUCUCGUCAUAUGUAUCUCAAAAUGAUUUGCACAGGGCUGGAUAUCUCAGAAAUUAUCUUCCAGAGGAAAAUAUGUUUCUGUAAGCAUUAGGUCAAUUUGUGUGGUUUUGAGUGAGCAGGUAACCCGAUGUUUCCAUAAUUCCAAUCAGGGGCGGAUCUGGGCCCCGGGCUGCCCGGGCUGCAGCCCGGGGCGAGGCCCAAGAGCAGUGAAAAACUUCUUCAUAAAAAUAGUAUAAAAAAGCAUUUUGACCCAUUAGCCCACCCCGAAGAAGUUAGCCCAGGCGGCAGGCGCCAGGCGGCCCAACAACUCCCCAUUGCCCUAGCAGUUCCGGCCGGCCCAUGUGGCCAUGUGAGCAUGCGCGGUGGCCUGCUGAUGUGAGCAUGCGCCUGCUCCUGCCCGGCUGCCCGAGUGCCCGAUUCGCCGCCAGCGCCACCGCGCCAGGCAGCGCCCGCCGCCCAGCCGCCCGCCCAGCUCGCCGUCGUCCGCGCGCCGCCCCCCCCCCCCCCCCCCCCCCCCCCCCCGCGGCCCUGGCGCCCCGCGCACCGCCACCCGCGGCCCAGCGCGGCCGCGCCCCUGUCGGCCACCCGCGGCCCCGCGCGGCUGCGCCUCCGCCGGCCGCCCGCAGCCCCGCGCGCCGCGCCCCCGCCGGUCGCCCGACGCCCGCGGCCCCGCGCGGCCGCGCCUUCGCCGGCCACCCGCGCGCGGCGCGCCGCCACGGCGCCACCCGCGGCCCCGCGCGGCCGGGCCCUGUUCUGCUCACCUAUUGUCUAUUGAAAUUGUUCCCCUGCUCCGGUAUGCAAUUUUUUUUUGAAAUUGCUAUUUCUAUGCAAAGUAAUGAUAAUGAAUAUUUCAUUUCAUUGAUUUGAGCAGGAAGUAUUUGAGUCUUAGUUUGCAAAUUGCAAUUGCAACAUUUCAUAAUCAUAACUUAAAAUGGAGAAAUACUAUGCUAAAAAGAGUAGUGCCGAAAGUGUAGAGAGCCGGGUUGAGCAAAAAAGACCACGGAUUGAACUUGAUAUGAGAGAUAUAGUUGCUGAUCCAGGAGAAAGGAAGCCAAUUGAUGAUUUUCAUCAUGACAUUAGGGAUGAGGCAAGGAGAGCAUAUCUACAAAUAGGUCCAUAUAGGCCAGCUGGUCAUAAGUUCCAAAAAUGAAAAAAGAUGGUAAAGGCCAAUCAAGAGGAUUUGUUGGAUCAUGGUUUGAUCAAUUUGAUUAGUUAGAGUACAGUGUAGCCAAGGAUGCAGCUUAUUGCUUUUAUUGUUAUCUCUUUAAGCCACAACAAGCUGGGUUUCAUAGUAAUGAUACAUUCACCAAAGUUGGGUUUAGAAAUUGGAAGAAUGCAAAGAAUUGUUUCAAGGAGCAUGCUCAAUCAAUUGAUGGCUUUCAUAAUAAUGCAAGAAAGCGUGCACUUGAUUUCAAAAAUCAGAGGCAAAGUGUUGAACAUGUAUGGUCUGUUACAAGUGCAGCAGAAGAGGAGGCAUAUAAAGCUCGUUUAAGUAUCAUGUUAGGCAUUGCUAGAUUUCUCCUUUUGCAAGCUCUAGCCUUUCGUAGACAUGAUGAGUCUAAAACAUCAAGAAAUAAAGAGAACUUUAUGGAGAUGCUCGAAUGGUACAGAAAGAAGGAUCCUAAGGCUGCACUUGUGACCGGUGAAAAUGCUCCAGGGAAUAAUCAAAUGAGUAGUCCAAUGGUUCAAAAAGAUUUGGCUAGGGCUUGUGCAGAGGAGACAAGUGAGUUAAUUAAAAGUGAAAUAGGAGAUCGUUGUUUUGCGGUUCUUGUCGACGAGGCUCGUGAUGCAUCUAUUAAGGAACAAAUGGCUGUGGUUGUGAGGUAUAUACCUUCUCUCUAUUUGGUUAUUUUAUUGGUUUUGUUUUGUUGCUUUCAAGUAACACUAUUUUCUCUUUUCUCUUGUAGGUUUGUCAAUGAUAAAGGAAGUGUGAUUGAGAGGUUUCUUGGCAUUGAACAUGUUUCUGACACCACAUCAACUUCACUAAAAGAAGCAUUGGAUACUAUGCUUAGAAGAUAUGGUCUAUCUAUUUCCAAGAUUAGAGGGCAAGGAUAUGAUGGAGCUUCAAAUAUGAGAGGACAAUUUUAUGGGUUACAAAGACUGGUAUUGAACGAAAACCCAUAUGCCUUUUACAUCCAUUGUUUUGCUCAUCAAUUGCAGCUUGUGGUAGUUUCUGUAGCCAAGUGUUGUGGCUCAACUUUUGAUUUCUUCAAUUAUGUCACUUCAAUCGUCAAUGUUGUUAGUGCUUCUUGCAAGAGGAAAGAUCAACUCCUUCAAAGUCAUCAUGAUAAGCUUGUUGAGCAGUUAGAUAGUAGUGCUAUUUUUUCUGGGAGAGGGAAAAACCAAGAAACUAGUCUUGCUAGGCCUGGUGAUACACGGUGGGGUACACAUCACAAAACAUUGGCACGUCUUAUGAUCAUGUGGUCCUCUGUACUGGAGGUAUUGGAGAAUAUUAGUGAAGAUGGAACUGAUGGAAAAAAAUACUACAGCCUCUGGAUUGAUUCAAAGAAUGGAGUCAUUUGAAUUUGUGUUCAUAUUACAUCUUAUGAUUAGAGUACUGGGGAUGACUCAAGACUUGUCACAAUGUUUGCAAAAGAAAAAUCAAAACAUUGUUCGUGCAAUAGGAUUAAUUGGCUCUGUGAUGAGAAAUAUGAAUGAAAUGAGGGAAAAUAGUUGGGAUGCUCUUUUUGAAGAAGUAAAGGAGUUUUGCCUCCUCAACAACAUAGAAAUUCCUAAUAUGGAAGAUAUGAUACCAGUUAGAGGUCGUUCGAGAUGUCGUGGUGCUAAACUAGUGAGUUACUACCAUCAUUUUCAUCAUGGAAUUUUCAAUGUUGUGAUUGAUCAAGUUUAUUGUGAGUUAAACAAUCGAUUUCCAGAAAGAUCAACUCAACUCUUGAGAUGCGUUGCUUGUCUUGAUCCGAGGGAUUCUUUUGCCAACUUGAAGUACAGAAGUUAGUUGAGCUUGCUAAGAUUUAUAAAGAUGACUUCUGUGAUUAGGACUGCAUAAAGCUUGCGGGUGACCUUCCUAUUUUCAUUGAUGAAGUUAGAAAUGAUGAUAAUUUUGACACUUGUAUUGAUCUUGGUAACCUUGCUGAGAAGAUGGUUCAGAGUGGAAGAGAUACAGUUUUUCCUUUGGUGUAUCGUCUCAUUGAACUUGCAUUAAUUUUGCCGGUGGCAACAGCAACAGUUGAAAGAGCCUUCUCUGCUAUGAAUAUUAUCAAGACUGAAUGAAGAAAUAAAUGAAUGAUGAUUGGUUGAAUAAUAGCAUGAUGUGCUAUAUUGAGCGAGAUUUGUUUGCGUCGAUUGAAGAUGAAAAAAUUCUAAAGCUCUUUCAAGGCUUAAGAAACCGUAAGAUGAAUUUGCCAAACGAGGGCUCAAGGUGCGUGUUGUUUACUUGUAUUAGUCUAUUUCAAUACAUAAUGUUAUCUUGCUUUAUAUAGGGCUGAUAUGUUGAAAAUUUUAAUGUAGAAUUGAGGACGUCGGAACAAGUGGAAGUGGUUAUUAAUUCAUGAAGACAUGUAUGGUUCUUUUUUUAUCAUGGAAGACUCUUAAUUUGGUACUUUUCUACCUUCAAUAUUCUAUGUAUUGUUUGAGUCUAUUGGUUGAAUUGUGCUCUUUGAAAAAUAUAUUAUAUCUAAUAGUGUAUGGCUAGUAAGAUUUUAAGCCUUAUAUUAGUUAGCCCGGGGCGGAGCCCGUUUCUGGAUCCGCCACUGAUUCCAAUAUUAUACUAAGAAAUUGAUGCCUAUUUCUAUGUUUGUUCUGUUUUGCUAUUCCUUUCAUUUGUAAAGACAUUCAGUCGUCGAAGGUGUAGCUUUUCAGGUCGAAGCCGUGUAUUCCACUGCAAAAGAUAUUCACUUCUUAUGAACUGAAAUUAUACAUCAUCUAUGUUUCAUUCUUUGUUCCAUCUUUUAACAAGAGUCGUGCCAUGCAUUCCACCAUACUUGUAAGUAUCGAAUCAAAUGGAAAGUUUGUGUUGACUGACUGAAUUCUAGUUGGCCACAUGUUAUGCAAUGUGUGUCACUUUGUUGCAGGUUGGAGCUCCAAUGACCUGGACAAGAAAUGUGAAAGACCUAUUUUGUUCUCCUCAAGCCUCAUCAGAAAUCUUUUUUUUCUAAAUUAAACUGAGCAUACGUUCUACUAUAAAUAAGAUAAUCCUUUAUUUGACACCUUUCUUCAAAAUUUUCUAUUUAACGCCAAGUUCAACUUUCAUUCUUUAUACGACACUAUGUCGGAUUUUCUUUCGGAAAUCAUUAAAUAUCCUAAGAAAAGACAAUUUUGGCCCUCGGACCCCGCCGCCCUUCUCCCUAUGCUCCACACCCGACGGGCCCUUCUCCCUCCGGGCCAGCAGGCUAGGCCCUGUGCGGGCGCACGUCUCCGCCGAGCGGAGCAUGGAGGCCGCCGGCAAGGGGUUGGUGGUGGAGGAGGAGGACGCGGUGAGGCUGUUCGUGGGCCUCCCCGCGGACGUGGUGGUCUCGGAUAGCCGCGGGGUGUGCCGCCCGAGGGCCAUCUUGGUGGCGCUGCGCGUGCUCAAGCUGCUCGGCGUCGACGGCGUGGAGUUGCCGGUGUCAUGGGCCGCGGUGCAGCCCGGGCCCGGGGGCUGGUUUGAGUGGGCUGGGUACCUCGCCGUCGCCUCCAUGGUCGGCCCCGCGUCGCGCUCCCCACCGACGGCGAUGCGCUCCCUCAGUGGGUGGCCGACGCCGCGGCCGCCGACCCCAACGUCCUCUUCACCGACCGGUCCGGGCACCUCCGCGAGGGGUGCCUCUCCUUCGCCGUCGACGAGCUCCCGGUGCUCCUCGGCGAGUCGCCGCUCGAGGCCUACGAGGCCUUCUUCCGCAGCUUUGCCGACGAGUUCAACGACAUCUUGGAGUCAACCAUUACGGUAAGAGAAAUCCAAGAACAGAACACAUUUCAGUAAAAGGCUCCUCUUUGAAAAGUUUUCUUGGUUCGUGUAGGAUGUGACCGUGAGCCUGGGUCCCAACGGCGAGCUCCGGUACCCGUCGUACCCGCCGAGGAACAACAGCGCUACCGACGGCUACUCCGGCGCGGGCGAGUUCCAGUGCUACGACAUGUACAUGCUGCCGCGGCUGAAGCGUCACGCCGAGUCGUCCGGGUAGCCGCUGUGGGGCCUGUUAGGCCCGCACGACGGGCCGCGGUACGACGAGUCGCCGGAGUCAUCUGUCUUCUUCCGGGAGCGGGGGGCUCGUGGAACACCGCGUACGGGCUGUCUGCCAAGGUGCCGCUCCUGUGCGGGUCGCGCCCAGCGGCGGAGGCCACCGCGGGGCUCCACAGCGGGUACGUCCCCGUCGCCGAGAUGUUCGCGCGGCACGGAUGCACGGUGAUCGCGUGCGGCGUGGAUGCGCGGCUCGACGCCCGGGCGGAGGAGCACCCGGCGAGGGUCACACGGGCGUCUGGCUGUCCGCGGGCCGCACCCAGCCGCGCGGGUUCACGUACAAGUGGAUGGGCGCUGACUUCUUCUCGGUGUGGAGCAAAGGAGGGAGAAGGGUAGUGGGGUUCAUAGAGGCAAAAUCAUCUUUUCGCAGAGUAUUUAACGGUUUUCGUAUGGAAAAUCUAACAGAGUGUUGUAUAAGGAAUAAAAGUUGAGCUCAGUGUCAAAUAUGAAACUAAAUUUUAAUAGGGAAUUAUCUCAUUAUAAAUUUAACAAAAUUCAAGGUAGAAAACAGGAAUCUUUGCCACCUAAUCUGAUGAGCACCAGAUAUUCAGAAUGGUGUAUGAGUAGUUAGUUAUCCAACGAACUGAACGGCGGCAUGGCUGUAGGUUUGGGAGAACAUGCAGUUGGAUUAGCUGUUGAGCAGUAUGUGAUGUCGUGUCUCGUACAGAGGCAUAUCAGAAUUUCAGGAAACCUUAUUCAUGGAAUUCAACUGCUAACAUACGCAUGCAGUGCAGAGGUCUAGAUUUUCGAUGGCUUGUAUACCCAAUAGACCUAUUUUAUUGAAAUUGGAACCACAAAUUCAGGAUUAUUGACACCGCAACAGGGUAGCCAACAAAAAACGAGCAAAAGGAAAGACUACAAGCCUCCCAGAUAUUAAACCUGCCACAUAUGUUGCACUAUGCAGCUAUGGUUACAGCUUCAACACAAAUACAAUGGGCCUGCAUCAAUUUCCGGUGGUACUUAAGCCAUGGGCACCUUGGUAGCACAUCCAGCAGAAUCCACAACCACCAAACUGUGGUAGAUUAUUGUCAAUUUGCGCCUCUAGAGUUGUGGCAUCCUUCACUUGUCCUACCGAAAGUAACAUGUGAUUAGGAAACUGCAUGAAAAGAUAAUGUUCACUGUAAACAGAGUAAUAGAAGUGAACAUCAUAGCUAACCAGUUGGUAUUGUUUCUCUUCUUUGUAGUAGCGGUUGAACCCUAGUGUAUCCUUGAUCUCCUGGAAAGAUGGCAAGAUACUAGGCGGAGGUACACCACCAUCUUUUA